rnacentral:rRNA from 1 species
UACGUAGGUGGCAAGCGUUGUCCGGAUUUACUGGGCGUAAAGGGCGUGCAGGCGGUUUGUUAAGUCUAGGGUGAAAGCUCCCGGCUCAACUGGGAGAGGUCCUUAGAUACUGGCAAACUUGAGGGAGGCAGAGGAGAGUGGAAUUCCCGGUGUAGUGGUGAUAUGCGUAGAUAUCGGGAGAACACCAGUGCGAAGGCGGCUCUCUGGGC